GCUAACAGAAUAAAUGGCCUGUUUACCAAAGAUCCAGCCAAGAUGUAUGCCUGCAGAAUAGGAACCAGUCACCAUCACUGUCAGAGAUAUCCAGCAAAGAGUAACCCACAUGAAGAGUUGGUCAGCCCUAGGACCUGAUAUAAAGCACAUCUAUUGGAUAAAGAAAUUAGCAACGCUUCAUGAACGCCCAGCAACACAAAUUAACCAACUACUAGCAACAGGCUCCCACCCUGAAAGGCCAAC